rnacentral:rRNA from 1 species
CCCUACGGGGCGCAGCAGGCGCGAAACCUCCGCAAUGCGAGCAAUCGCGACGGGGGGACCCCAAGUGCUACUCUUAACGGGGUAGCUUUUCUAAAGUGUAAAAAGCUUCAGGAAUAAGGGCUGGGCAAGACCGGUGCCAGCCGCCGCGGUAACACCGGCAGCUCAAGUGGUGGCCG